AUGCCCAAGAAAGGAGGGAAGAUUGCAGACGUGGCAAAGGAAACACAGGCUCAGUGCAAAAAGCCCAAGUUGGACGCAGCUGCUUCUCCAUCAGUCCUGAGUUUUGAGAGCCCAGACAGCCUCUUCAGGAGCCUGAUCUCUCCCAUUGAGGAAGAGGAGUUUUUCAGGGACUACUGGGAGCAGAAGCCACUGCUUGUUCAGAGGAAUGAUGAGCUGGUGGCUGCUUACUACCAGUCCCUGUUCCAGCUGUCCCACCUGCAGGAGCUGUGCAGCCAGGGCCUGCACUACGGGCGAGAUGUGAAUGUCUGCAGGUGUGUCAGUGGGAAAAAAAAGGUGUUAAAUAAAGAAGGUAGAGUGAAUUACAUGCAGCUGAGGAAGGAUUUUGACCAGAAGAAGGCAACAAUACAGUUUCAUCAACCUCAGAGAUUUAAGGAGGAGCUGUGGAAGAUUCAGGAGAAGCUGGAGUGUUACUUUGGGUCUCUGGUGGGCUCCAAUGUUUACAUCACUCCCCAGGGGUCUCAGGGCCUUCCCCCUCACUAUGAUGAUGUCGAGGUGUUCAUCCUCCAGCUGGAAGGAGAGAAGCACUGGAGGCUCUACAAACCAACAGUGCCUUUGGCUCGGGAGUACAACGUUGAGCCAGAAGAGAGGAUUGGGAGUCCCACACAUGAAUUCAUAUUAAAGCCAGGUGACUUGCUGUACUUCCCAAGAGGGACUAUUCACCAGGCUGACACUCCUCAUGGCAUCUCCCAUUCAACACACGUGACCAUCAGCACCUACCAAAACAACUCUUGGGGAGAUUUCUUACUGGAUGCAAUCCCUGGCCUGGUGUUUGAUACAGCAAAAGAGGACAUGGCAUUCAGGACAAGCAUUCCAAGGCAACUGCUCAUGCAGGUGAACACAGCUGGCUGCACCAAAAAGCUGAGCAGCCUUCUGAGAAGGCUUGCAGACAGUCUGGAGAGCUCCAGGGAGCUGAGAUCAUCCGACAUGAAGAAGGAUUUCAUCAUGCACCGCUUGCCGCCGUGCCUGGGAUGUGACUCUGAUCCUUUGACUCCAGGUGGGAAAUUGCCAAAAAUAGAUAGCAAAAUCAGACUGCAGUUUAGAGACCAUGCUAUCAUCACUGUGGAACCAGAUCAAGAGAAUGCUGAUGAAAUUCGCAGGGAGAUGGUUUAUGUGUAUCAUUCCUUAAAGAACAGGAGAGAAACUCACAUGAUGGGGACAGAGGAUGACGCUGCCAGUGAGGACGGCCUGGCACAGCAGACUCACGGGCUCCGUUUCCCUCUGUCGUACUUGGAUGCACUGAAGCAGAUCUGGAGCAGCAGCACUGUUACUGUUAAAGAGCUUAACCUUACCUCAGAUGCAGAGAAGGAAAACCUUGCCUUGUCACUCUGGACUGAAUGUCUGAUUGAAGUUCUUUGAUGCUUUUGUGAAUUAGCUGCUCCUGGCUAUUAGGCAUCUCUUGACACCAAGAGAUUAUUAAAUUAGUUUUUUUUUAAAUCCAAAA